GUAUUUACCUGGCAGGAGACACCAUGAUUACAGAGGUGCUUUUCCCAGGGCAGGGGUCCCCCAGUGCACUUGGGGUGUUCUGACCCCUGCCAUUUCCCCAGAUGUGGGUAACUCAGCUGCAUCAUUUGUGGUAGUGGGGGUCCUUGUUAUACACUCUCCCCUA